ACAGGUUCAAAUGGGGUCUAUUCAUCAUUCAAAACGCCAAUCUUGAAGGAGCAGAGGAAUUUCUUGAACUGUCAUGCUCGCUAGGCGAAGCCCACGUGUUUUAAAAAAAAAAAGCGAAAAAAAAAGCGAAAAUAAAUAAAUAAAUAAAUAAAUAAAAGAAAAAUCUUGGACUUGAACCUCUCUCAUUUGAGCCCACAAGUCCACAAAAAUCAGGUUAUAAAUUCAGAGUUUCAGUGAAACAAAAGGGCAUUAUAUUCCUAUUACCCUGGCUGAAAAAAGAUAGUGAGAGAAAAGCUAACAGAGUUCAGAG
rnacentral:lncRNA from 1 species